CCUCCUCCUCCUUCUUCUUCUUCUUCUUCUUCUUAUUCUUCUUCUUCUUCUUCUUCUUCUUCUUCUUCUUAUUCUUCUUCUCCUUCUUCUUCUACUACUACUUCUCCUUCUUCUUCUUCUUCUCCUCUUUCUUGUUCUCCUUCUUAUCCUUCUUCUUCUUAUCCUCCUCCUUCUUCUUCUUCUCCUUCUUCAUCAUCUUCUUCUUC
rnacentral:lncRNA from 1 species